rnacentral:rRNA from 1 species
CGGCGUCGAGCGGCGGACGGGUGAGUAAUGCCUAGGAAAUUGCCCUGAUGUGGGGGAUAACCAUUGGAAACGAUGGCUAAUACCGCAUGAUGCCUACGGGCCAAAGAGGGGGACCUUCGGGCCUCUCGCGUCAGGAUAUGCCUAGGUGGGAUUAGCUAGUUGGUGAGGUAAGGGCUCACCAAGGCGACGAUCCCUAGCUGGUCUGAGAGGAUGAUCAGCCACACUGGAACUGAGACACGGUCCAGACUCCUACGGGAGGCAGCAGUGGGGAAUAUUGCACAAUGGGCGCAAGCCUGAUGCAGCCAUGCCGCGUGUGUGAAGAAGGCCUUCGGGUUGUAAAGCACUUUCAGUCGUGAGGAAGGUGGUGUAGUUAAUAGCUGCAUUAUUUGACGUUAGCGACAGAAGAAGCACCGGCUAACUCCGUGCCAGCAGCCGCGGUAAUACGGAGGGUGCGAGCGUUAAUCGGAAUUACUGGGCGUAAAGCGCAUGCAGGUGGUUUGUUAAGUCAGAUGUGAAAGCCCGGGGCUCAACCUCGGAAUAGCAUUUGAAACUGGCAGACUAGAGUACUGUAGAGGGGGGUAGAAUUUCAGGUGUAGCGGUGAAAUGCGUAGAGAUCUGAAGGAAUACCGGUGGCGAAGGCGGCCCCCUGGACAGAUACUGACACUCAGAUGCGAAAGCGUGGGGAGCAAACAGGAUUAGAUACCCUGGUAGUCCACGCCGUAAACGAUGUCUACUUGGAGGUUGUGGCCUUGAGCCGUGGCUUUCGGAGCUAACGCGUUAAGUAGACCGCCUGGGGAGUACGGUCGCAAGAUUAAAACUCAAAUGAAUUGACGGGGGCCCGCACAAGCGGUGGAGCAUGUGGUUUAAUUCGAUGCAACGCGAAGAACCUUACCUACUCUUGACAUCCAGAGAACUUUCCAGAGAUGGAUUGGUGCCUUCGGGAACUCUGAGACAGGUGCUGCAUGGCUGUCGUCAGCUCGUGUUGUGAAAUGUUGGGUUAAGUCCCGCAACGAGCGCAACCCUUAUCCUUGUUUGCCAGCGAGUAAUGUCGGGAACUCCAGGGAGACUGCCGGUGAUAAACCGGAGGAAGGUGGGGACGACGUCAAGUCAUCAUGGCCCUUACGAGUAGGGCUACACACGUGCUACAAUGGCGCAUACAGAGGGCGGCCAACUUGCGAAAGUGAGCGAAUCCCAAAAAGUGCGUCGUAGUCCGGAUUGGAGUCUGCAACUCGACUCCAUGAAGUCGGAAUCGCUAGUAAUCGUGGAUCAGAAUGCCACGGUGAAUACGUUCCCGGGCCUUGUACACACCGCCCGUCACACCAUGGGAGUGGGCUGCAAAAGAAGUAGGUAG